rnacentral:lncRNA from 1 species
GGCAUAUAAACUGUAUGUAGCACAAGGUGGCAGAAAGAAUAACCGAAAGGAAUUUCUUUGGUGUCAUGCAGAUGUUCAGGUAGUUCCUGUAUUAAUAUGACUUUCUUUCCUGACAUGAUUCAUUUUGAUAGUAUCUUUUGUUUCUCUAUAUAGUGUCCUCAACAACAAGGAGGUACGGAGUGCGGUUUAUUUGUUAUGAGGUACAUGCAUGAAAUAUUCCUACUUUCUCAAAAAAAUCCUAAUACCAAUUGGAAAGAGGUAAGAACAAAAUAUAUAGUUAAUGAUUCUUUUGGGAAUAUUAAACUCAUUAUUUUGCCUAAAUAUGUUAUCAUCAUUUGCAUUUGUAAGGCCCUAGGCCCUGGUUCAAGAAGGUAUUUAAAGAAGGAACUCAAUGAGGUUCGAGAACUGUGGGCUGAGUUUUUUACAGUUGAAUGUCUAUAAUCAGGUUUGGAAACAACUUCUUCCAUUAAUUAAAUUAUUUUUUUCACUCCACUAUAUAAUCAGGUACAACAAAUUAUAUGUAUUUGUUUGUAAUCAUUGAACUCCUUGUUGAAUUGUUUUGUUUAUAUAUACAGUUAGUUGACAAACUGUAAUGGCCAAUACAAGCUUUUUAGUGCUAAGGACGAGAGCGAAGACUUCGAGGCAGCUGGCUUAUUACUGCACUGAUUUCAUAAUUUUUAGUGUUGACAUGUAAUUUCACUAGAAGAAUUAUGGGUUGUAAUACAUUUUAAUCUUAAUGUACAUUGAUUAAUUCUCACAUUUAAUUAAGUUUUUGUAAUUUAAGUUUAAUUAGUGCUAUAUAUUGACUUUGGGUA